CGCUAAGAUUUUCUUGUAAUAACCAUAUUUUUUUUAAAACUUAAAUUCCUGCGUUAUCGACAUUUAUUAUACCGACGCAAACGAUCGAUAGUGUACUGUAAACAGUCUGUUAUGUAUUCUAUAAGAUGACGUUGUAAAAGUUACAGAACGCACAGUGUUCUCGUUAUGAUCGUUUUUUGUACCAAUCACUCUUUAUGUGCUUAUAUUGCUGGCAAUUGCUGAUUACAAUAAUGCCUUCGUGUAACGUUUACGUCAUACAGUAGAUGAUUGACAAGAGUAAAAUAAUUAAUAAAAAGCGGCGGUGGUGUAAACGCAUUUGCAAGAACAUUAUUGGAAUGAUAUCGUUAGGAGAUAUAAAGUUUGAGUAACGAGGAUGGAAUAUACAAGACAGAUAUUCUCUACACUGAUUAUUCUAUUAACAUUAUAUUACACAACAUCAACUUAUAUUGGAGACACUCGACAAAUUGAUGAGCCUUCCAAAAUUGGUUGGCUUUUUUCUGAUGCCUCUAUUAAGACAAAGAGGGUUCAAAGAGCAACUAUAAUAAGAGAAUUCGAGGAUGAUGGGAAUUUGCCAAAAAUUAUAAGUGGCAAUUGCCGAGAUAAAUUGAAUCGUCUUUGUGGAAACAUAGAUAAGAAUAAUGAUGAACUUAUGCUGCUUGAGUGCAUUCAAACAUUCAAGCCUACUGAGAUAUCCGGAAUCAAUCAGAAAUGUCAGGAGGCAAUUUGGAUUUAUAUUCAGAAUAUUACAGACAAUCAAAAUAUAAAGAGACUUGCCAGAAAGGCAUGUGGCAGACAAUUGGAUACUCUACAAUGUUCUGAUUCUGAUAAAGCUCAUGGGGCGUAUCUUUCUUGUUUGAUUGAUCAGCGAGAGAGGGUUACAGAUUCUGACUGUAUUACUUACAUUCAGAGAUUAGAAUGGAUUGCAUUUAGUGAUUUCAGAAUUUUAACUCCUUUUAAGACAGAUUGUGCAUAUGACAUUAAAACUUUUAAAUGCGAUAUUCUGCAGCCAUACAGAGAUAUAUCGCAAGGUCAAAUACUAGCUUGUUUGCAGGAACAUGUUGAACAACUGCAACAGGAAUGUAGGAGACAUAUUCUUCAUGUGUCUGAGAUUCAAGCAGAAAAUAUCAAACUAGAUCGUCAACUAUACAUGGCAUGCACUCAUGAUCACAUUAAGUUCUGUCCCAACAUUCGACCAGGCAGUGGUCAAGUCUACAAAUGCUUGAUGCAACAUAAAACUGAUAGAUCGAUGACCGCUCAAUGUCAAGAACAAUUGACGAGGAGAGAGAAGCUUAUUGCUUCAGACUAUAAGAUUAGCAAGGGUCUGGUUAAGGCGUGUAAAGAGGAUAUCAGAAGCAAUCACUGCAGGCGAUCCGUGUCCGACGACAAGGAGAUUAAGUUAGCGCAAAUCUUGCUUUGCUUGGAGUCAGCCGUAAAGAAUGGCAGUAAGAUCGAUGGAAACUGUCAAGCGGAAAUGUUCGAUCACAGAAAGCUCCUUAUGGAAGAUUACAGAUUAUCACCAGAGAUUGUGGACGGAUGUGCCAACGAUAUUACGGCUUUUUGCAAUAGCCUCGAAGUCGGCGGUGCUACCAUACAUUGUCUGAUGGAACAUACGAGAACGAGAAAGAAGAAAUCGAGGGUCACGUCAAAAUGCCAAAGAGCGUUGGAGGAGUUAAUCAUGGAAGCUGAUGCAGGCGAAGAUUGGAGAAUUGACCCGGUUUUAAGAGAACAAUGUCAACCUGUUGUCAACUUAGCUUGUAGAGAUGUACACGGUGGAGAUGCCAGAGUGAUAUCCUGUUUAAUGGAACAGUUAGGAACAGAGAGAAUGACCGAGGCCUGUGAGACAGCUUUAGUACAAAUACAAUACUUUAUUGCUAGAGAUUUCAAAUUGGAUCCACAAUUGUACAAAGCAUGCAAGUUUGAUGCUGUGCGUUUGUGUCAUGCGAGAAAUGCAUGGGCCAAUGAUGGCAAACAGAUGGACCCUGAAACAGGACCUCUCGUACUGCCAUGCCUUUAUCGGCAUGUGUAUCAGAAAAAUAUGACGUUGAAAGCAGAUUGUUUGGAGGAAAUUAGAAGAGUCAUGAGGCAGCGUGCUGUGAAUGUCGAUUUACAGCCAGAAAUAGAAGAAGUGUGCUUUAAUGAAUUGGCGUCACUUUGUUAUGAUAAAACUGCAAAGGGAGAGGAGAUUCUUUGCUUGCAGGAUAAUUUAGACAACUUAAACAAAAAGUGUAAGCUUGCAGUUGGAAAUUUCACAGAAGAACAAGCAGAGCGUGUUGAGCUGAAUCCUAUUAUUUCUUCUGCAUGCCAACAUAUUAUGGAACGUCAUUGCGAGGAAGUUUUAAAAUAUGGAAAGGAUGAGGGAGAUAUGAUGGAAUGCCUUAUUGAGCAUAAAAACGAACUGGAUGCACGCACUGAUUAUAAAUGUAAAGCAGCAGUGGAACAUUUUCAAUUGAUAUCCUUAAAGAAUUAUCAUUUUACAUACAAGUUCAAAGAGGCAUGCAGGCCUUAUGUUAAAAGAUGGUGUCCUAAAUCAAAAACGAAAGCAGAUGUGAUAGAAUGCUUAAGCUCGAUCGUGCAGGAGGACAUAAUAAAAGAAUCUCAGCAUCGUGUGUUGAAGGAUUGCAGACAACAGCUACGGGCACAGCUUUAUCAACAGCGAGAAAAUAUUCAUUUCGAUCCUGUCUUACAAUCGGCCUGUGCAAUAGAUAUCAAACAGUAUUGUUUUAACGUUCAACCAGGCAAUUCACAGGUAUUAGAAUGCUUGGCAUCACAUAAGGCUAAGUUGACAGAUAUAUGUCAUAAGCAACUAUUUAAAGUGAGGAAACAGGAGUUUCAAGAUAGUUCCAGCGAUGUACCAUUAUUGAAUACUUGUCGAGUUAUGAUUAGACAAUACUGCCACGAUGUGAGCAAAUCACAAACUUUGGAUUGCCUUAAAAGAUACAAAGAUGAGCUCACUUUCGAUGAUAAAUGCAAGAAUAUUGUGAUUCGAAGAAUGAUCGAACAGAAUACGGAUUACAGAUUUAACACUGCAUUGCAAAACGCGUGUGGUUACGAUAUCGACAGGCAUUGCAAAGAAGUUUUGGCACAUGAGCGUACUGACAAAGAACUUGAAGGAAAGGUAAUUAGAUGUCUGAAAAUCAAAUUUCGAGAAUCGAAACUGACGACUAAAUGUGAACAUCAAAUGGCUAACAUUCUUAGAGAAGCUGCAUUGAAUUAUCAUUUAAAUCCAUUAUUAGCAACCAUGUGUGCACAUGAGAUUGAAACUAUAUGCCGAUCGGACGAAAAUGAGCCUGGUACUGUCGAGGAGUGUCUUAAAAAAGAAUUCAAUGCUGGAAAUAGAGAUAUGAAGGAAGAAUGUCGUUUGGAAAUCGCUGAUCUGAUAGAACAAACGAGAGCUGAUAUCAAUGUAGAUCCUUUGUUGCAGAAAGCUUGUGCUGUGGAUGUCAGCAAGUAUUGCAGUGCUGUACCUCAAGGUGCAGGAAGACAUAUAAUGUGCUUGCAAAAUGCGUUGCAAGACAGUAAUAAACCCUUGCAACCCGAUUGCUUUAAGAUGUUGACUACGAGGAUGGAAAUGUUUAGAAAUGCUGCCAAGUUGAUUGCGCCAAAUUCGUUUGAGGAGCUAUACUCGACGGUAAAUCGUUCCCCAGCGCGGCGUUACUUCAUGAUCGUUGGUUUUACCAUGGUCGGAACAAUCUUCAUCGUCGGAAUGUUCUGCGGUCGAGUGACCAGACGAACGAUGAUUAUGAAAAACAAGUGACGACGCGGCUGAGGUCCGUCCACUAGUGAAAUGACUCGUGAAAUUAAGUAAUCGAGGGACUAAAAACGUAAAUUGUAACGUGCAUUGAUUCGAUCAGCGAUGAUGAAAUGAAAAAGUUCUACAAUAAUUAUAAAGAGCAAAAACGCAAUUUUAAUAAAAAAAAAUAACUAAAAAUAAUUUGCGCGAAAAUGAGCUGUUCAUCUGUCGGACAUGUAUUUUAUCGGUGCCUGGAUGUUGGCUCUGAUUUAGAAUGCAAAGAGAGAAAGAGAAGGAGAAGAAUAAUACAAGUAUCUACCUAUUCGAAGUACGGCACUCCAUCUCUUUCCCUCGAGGCUCGUUCAACUUGUGCAAUGCAAUUGCACAGUGAAUGAGAACAUGUCUGAGGAUUCUUUUUGAAACACAGUUCUUGAAUAACUGUUGAAGUAACUUUGCAAUGCGCACAAGGGCGAUUAUUCCUCAGGGACAUUCGAGGUCAUCUUGCAAGAAUGAUUCCGCAUACAGGUGUGAGAAUUAAACAUGGGCUGGUGGCACGAGACGCAUUUAUUAUGUAAAGCAUAAUACAAUAUAUCUAAGUUUUCUGUACGUUUGUGAUAUGAAAAAGACGAAUAAAGAUAUUUAAAGUGAUUUAAA